rnacentral:misc_RNA from 1 species
AAGUCGUAACAAGGUUUCCGUAGGUGAACCUGCGGAAGGAUCAUUACUAAAGAUUCACAUCUUUACACCCAAAACGCGAACUGUUUUACCCCACUGACCUUUAAUUAGGUUGGCUGGGCCCCAUUUACUCAACCUUAUGUUUAUCUUUUGUAAACUACUUUAAAUAUUUUAAUUAAAUAUAACUUUCAGCAACGGAUCUCUAGGCUCUU